CAAUAGCGUAUAUUUAAGUUGUUGCAGUUAAAAAGCUCGUAGUUGGAUUUCGGGUGGGACGCAGCGGUCUCGCAUUGCGUUUGUACUGCUGCAGCCCUCCUUCUUGCCGGGGGCGGCCUCUCGGACUUCACUGUCUGGGGGUCAGAAUCGGCGAUGUUACUUUGAGUAAAUUAGAGUGUUCAAAGCAAGCUUACGCUCUGAAUAUAAUAGCAUGGGAUAACACGACAGGACUCUGGCCUAUCGUGUUGGUCUAUAGGACCAGAGUAAUGAUUAAGAGGGACAGUCGGGGGCAUUCGUAUUCCGUUGUCAGAGGUGAAAUUCUUGGAUUUACGGAAGACAAACAUCUGCGAAAGCAUUUGCCAAGGAUGUUUNCAUUGA
rnacentral:rRNA from 1 species